GGGGUGGAGCCUGGAUGCACCUCUCUUAGACCUCAUUUAAGGGCUGAUUGUCUCUGGGGAAAGAUUUCUGGUUGGAGAUCCCUCUCUUGUGGAUUUUUCCCUGUGAGCCAGAGACGGGUCAUGGUAGUUUAUAGACAAGCUGCAUCAGAGGAAAUGUGAAGAACUGGUAAGGAUUUGACCUGAUGCACAGAAGCUUUUUAGAAGUCCUGGUGUAUCCUCAGCUGCCUGAGUCAACGUGAGCUUUGUUCCUGACCUUGGUGAACUCAGGACUUCACUGUCGUGUACAUUUGCUGCCUAACAGCAGAAAGUUUUGCUUUUGGUUUCGAGGGGAUGGAUGUGAGGCAACACUGGGG
rnacentral:lncRNA from 1 species